GCAGGGCAUGGUGGCGCGUGCCUGUAAUCCCAGCUACUCGGGAGGCUGAGGCAGGAGAAUCGCUAGAACCCAGGAGGUGGAGGUUGCAGUGAGCUGAGAUGGAGCCACUGCACUCUAUCCUGGGUGACAGAGUGAGACAAUGUCUCAA
rnacentral:SRP_RNA from 1 species